UUACUUAUAGAUGUGAAAAAUAAUGAAAAAUUGUACUCACCUGAUAUGUGUGCUACCAGCUGAUGUUUAACAAGCACAUGGCCCAAACGAAAAUCCAACUACAAGGAAUGAAUGGCAGAGGGAGGACUUGGAGGAGAGAAGGAAGGAGGAACUGCUGUGGGGAUGUAAGGUUACAGAGACUAGGUCUUUAUCAUUGGAUCUACCCCAGCCACUGGAGACAGGACUUCUCUGAGAACUACAUGGUCUCAGCAGAAGUGGAUCUUGAAACCCAAGGCACAUCCUGAAGGCUGCUGCUGGCCACACUCUGCUGUUGUGACAAGUCUUACCUUGAAGGAGAAAUGAGUAGUAUUUCUCUGUGUCUAUCCCAUCAGGGAAACAAAACAAAAUAACCCCAGGCAUUGUGAAGGCAUUUUCACUUUGUGGCAUUGACGGCACAACUGGGAAAGAGUAAAUUAAGAUGUCUGGAAAAGAAAACAAGAAUACAGUUCUUGACUUGAGAUUUUAUAAUGAAAAUCAAAAGCUUCAUAAUGACUAGGCUUCAUUAUGGGAUGGGAGCUGGGUUUUAUUUGGCAUAGAACUAAUCACAAACAUAGGCAUCUAACUCACAAGUGUUCUGUAGCAUUAUCAAUUACUAUUUCUUUUUAACAUAGGUGAGAUCUCAGAUACCCCCUUCAU